UUUCCGUAGGUGAACCUGCGGAAGGAUCAUUAUCGUACAAAAUGUGAGGGGCAUGCGAGGGCUGUCGCUGACCCAAAAGUCAUGCACGCCCGAGUGUGUCCUCCUGCAUAAUAAUCCAUCUCACCCUUUGUGCAUCACCGCGUGCGCACCCUUCGGGAUCAUCUCGGAGGGGGGCUCGCGUUUUCACACAAACCCCCCUUUUAAAAGUGUAGAAUGACCACAUUUAUGCAAUCAAUACAACUUUCAACAACGGAUCUCUUGGCUCUC
rnacentral:misc_RNA from 1 species